rnacentral:rRNA from 1 species
AACGAACGCUGGCGGCAUGCCUAACACAUGCAAGUCGAACGAGACCUUCGGGUCUAGUGGCGCACGGGUGCGUAACGCGUGGGAACCUGCCCUUAGGUUCGGAAUAACUCCCCGAAAGGGGUGCUAAUACCGGAUAAUGUCUUCGGACCAAAGAUUUAUCGCCUUUGGAUGGGCCCGCGUUGGAUUAGCUAGUUGGUAGGGUAAAAGCCUACCAAGGCGACGAUCCAUAGCUGGUCUGAGAGGAUGAUCAGCCACACUGGGACUGAGACACGGCCCAGACUCCUACGGGAGGCAGCAGUGGGGAAUAUUGGACAAUGCGCGAAAGCCUGAUCCAGCAAUGCCGCGUGAGUGAUGAAGGCCUUAGGGUUGUAAAGCUCUUUUACCCGGGAUGAUAAUGACAGUACCGGGAGAAUAAGCGCCGGCUAACUCCGUG